AUGAAGACCGUUCUCAGCAAUCAGACUGCUAACAUUCUAGAAAAUGUCAACAUUACUCUGAAGGGACACACAGUUAUCGUGAAGGGCCCCAGAGGGACUUCAAUCACAUCAGUGUAGAACCCAGUCUUCUCGGACAGAAAACAAAAAAGGCUCCGGGUUGACAAAGGGUGGGGUAACGGAAAGGAACUGCUACCGUUUGGACUAUUUUACUCAUGUACAGAACAUGAUCAAGGGUGUCACACUGGGCUUCCACUACAAGUUGAGGUCUGUGUAUGCUCACUUCCCCAUCAAUGUUGUUAUCCAGGAGAAUGGGUCUCCUGUCGAAAUCCAAAAUUUCUUGGGUGAAAAAUACAUCCACAGGGUUUGGAUGAGACCAAGUGUUGCCUGUUCAGUAUCUCAAACCCAGAAAGAUGAAGGAAACAACAUUGAGCUUGUUUCAAAUUCAGCGACUUUGAUUCAGCAAGCCACAACAGUUAAAAACAAGGCAAUCAGGAAAUUUUUGGAUGGUAUAUAUGUCUCUGAAAAAGGAACUGUUCAGCAGGCCGAUGAAUAA
rnacentral:lncRNA from 1 species